UUUUUGCAAAGAGCUCUUUCAUUCAUCAGAAUCUGAAUGUUAGACGAUAUUACAAAACUCAAUAAGACUGACAGAUCGACAUUUAGGUAUAGGGAUUAAUAACUGGUCCCCACAUUUAAUGUACCAUUUUAAAAAGCUGUCCUCUGACAUUAACUAACCUGGAAAUUAAAUGCGGCUGGAAGCUCAUAUGACCGGCUCACAGUAGGUUUCUCAAAAGAGUGGUUAUUCCUCUUUAAGGCACCCAGUAUAAGGAUCAUUGACUACUGACCCAGUGGCUUCAUGCAAACAAGUGGAGCAGUCUCAACACAUUUCUUAAUGGGCAAGAGAGCUGGCAGCAGAAAGGACAAGUGCUUAGGUCACAAUUAUAGUUGAUUCAUAAUUUCUGCAAGGAGCCCAGGGACAGGGUUGGACCGUCACUCCAAAGGAACCUUAUCUU
rnacentral:lncRNA from 1 species